rnacentral:tRNA from 1 species
CCUUCGGUAGCUCAGUUGGUAGAGCGGUGGACUGUAGUUUGAACUGUGAAUAGUAAUCCAUAGGUCGCUGGUUCAAAUCCGGCUCGAAGGA